rnacentral:rRNA from 1 species
AAAUGAAUUGACGGGGACCCGCACAAGCAGCGGAGCAUGUGGUUUAAUUCGAAGAUACCCGAAAAACCUUACCAAGGCUUGACAUAUCGGCGCAUAGCGGCGAAAUCCGCGAAGAAGUAGCAAUAUUUCGUCGAUACAGAUGGUGCAUGGUUGUCGUCAGCUCGUGUCGUGAGAUGUUCGGUUAAGUCCGAUAACGAGCGCAACCCUUGUCGUUAGUUGCCAUCAUUCAGUUGGGAACCCUAGCGAGACCGCCGUAGAUAAUACGGAGGAAGGUGGGGAUGACGUCAAAUCAUCAUGCCUCUUACGCCUUGGGCUACACACGUGCUACAAUGGCCACUACAAAGAGCCGCAAUAUAGUAAUAUGGAGCAAAUCUCAAAAAAGUGGUCUUAAUUCGGAUUGAGGGCUGCAACCCGCCCUCAUGAAAUCGGAGUUGCUAGUAAUCCCAAAUCAGCAUGUUGGGGUGAAUGCGUUCCCGGGUCUUGUACACACCGCCCGU